UUCUCAAUAUAUGUACAAUAGCUACAGACACUCGGGACACAUGCAGCUGUGGAGCGGCACAGACAAAGUCCCACCUACUGGAGUGUGAGAACGCCCCCCAGUGCAGCCCCCAGGACCUGGCUGAACCAACCCCAUCAGCUGUGACCUGCGCCAGAUAUUGGCAGAAUGACAUCUGGAAUUGCAACGGACUCAAAGAAGCUAAAGACUCUCAAAUCCACAAAUAUUGAUAUAGAUUACUGUUAAACAUGUAAAAUAAAACAUGCAAAAAAAAAUCAAUCAAUUAGUCGAUCAAAAGAAAAUGAAUUGGCAUAGGUUUUGAUAAUAAUUGAACCAUUUUCUGUUGGUUCCUGCUCAAAUGUGUGGAUUGUGUAGCUAAUUUUAUUUGUCGUGUAGGAGAAUGAACCAAAUAUCUUUGAGCUGUAAAGUUGGUUGGAAAAAAAACAAGCAAUUUGAAUGUGUCACUUUUUGUGAUGGCUUUUCCAAAUUUUCUGGAAUUGUAUAAACAAAACAAGUAAUAGAUCCAUCAAUCAUGAAAAGAAUCAUUCGUUACAGCCCUUAACACGCAAACACACUUGUGCAUUGGCUCCUAAGGUUAACAGUAAAGGGCAAAGGGCCGGGGUGAGAUGUGUCAUGGUGCAGAGUUUUUUUAUUGAGCGAUAUUAUGCAACUGGAAAGGCAUCACCCAUAAAGUGGUGUGGCAUGGGGACAACGUACAGUCAAGCACUGCCAAAAGAUGCACACAGAGUCUCACACCUAGUGAAAUGCUCCAGUGGCGUUGACAGCUGACGAAGUACUUACGCACCUGAACGCUACAGGUCAGACUACUGGCUGCUGCUCAGAAUGAACUCAACAUCCGAGUGCAAUUACACCAAGCCCACUACUUAACGCACUACUUGGUCUUAACGCCAAAUUUCCAAAGUAUCACAUCUCAAAGGGAUUCCACAUUCAAAAGGGCAGACUGAAUACCAAACUGGAACCAGAAAGGACAGAGGACCUUGAUGACCCUGUGGGCUGAUUGUGCUGUUCUUAACAUGACACAUGGAUGGCUCACAUUUUUACCCACUUGUGUAACGCUGGGUGUCACUUUUGGCUGGCAUAAUGGAUUCAAACCUUGCGUGAUUUGCAUGUCAGUGCCAGUGAAGAGCACACAGUUAAGCCUCUAAGACAUAUAUAGCACUACAACAGCGUCUUCAAGGAAUUCUUUGACAACUUGGGAAAUGCGCUUUUUUGCUCUGUGUUGGUCUAGAUAAUAAGAUCAAUAACAGCCUCAUGUUGAUACCGUAAAAUUUAAGCCAAAGACAGGGGAUGGUUAGCUUAGCACAAACACUGGAAACAGCUAGCUAACAACGCCUCUAAAGCCCACUAAAUUAAAUAGUUGUAUUUUGUUUGUUUUAUAAAAAAAUAAAAAAUAAAAAUCCGGUGUAAAAACAAAAAGGUUAAAAAAGAUAUAACAUGUUAAUUUUUUUAGAUUUUUUUCGUGAAUUUUAACUUUAUUAGUGACAGCGGAUAGACAGGAAAGGGGAGAGAGAUGGGGGAUGACACGCAGCAAAGGUCCGAUCAUAACCCGGGCCAGUGCAGGACUACAGGAGCCUACACGGGGCGAACGCUCUUACAGGGUGAGCUAGAGGCCACCCCAGAAACAUAGAUUUUAAAUAGAAAC